UACGUAGGUGGCGAGCGUUGUCCGGAAUUACUGGGUGUAAAGGGAGCGUAGGCGGGUCGGCAAGUCAGUGGUGAAAUACAUGGGCUUAACCCAUGAAUUGCCAUUGAAACUGCCGGUCUUGAGUGGAUCAGAGGCAAGCGGAAUUCCGAGUGUAGCGGUGAAAUGCGUAGAUAUCAGGAGGAACACCAAUGGCGAAGGCAGGUCUCUGGGCAGUUACUGACGCUGAGGAGCGAAAGCAUGGGUAGCGAACAGGAUUA
rnacentral:rRNA from 1 species